rnacentral:rRNA from 1 species
AUUGAACGCUAGCGGCAUGCCUUACACAUGCAAGUCGAACGGAGUGGCGAACGGGCGCGUAAGGUAUCGGUACGUGCCCAGCUGCGGGGGACAACUACCCCCACGCGAAGCCAACACCGCAUCCUUUCCGUCCGGCCGAUCUCGGCUUAGAUAGUUGGUGGGGUAACGGCUCACAAGGGCGACGAUCCGUAGAUGGUUCGAGAGGACGACCAGCCACACUGGGACUGAGACACGGCCCAGACGCCUACGGGAGGCAGCAGUGGGGAAUUUUGGACAAUGGGGGAAACCCUGAUCCAGCCAUCCCGCGUGUGUGAUGAAGGCCUUCGGGUUGUAAAGCACUUGUGGCAGGAAAGCGGUACCUGCAGAAUAAGCACCGGGUAACUACGUGCCAGCAGCCGCGGUAAUUC